UGUGUGCAAGCUGCCUUGGGGAAUGCAGGCCGCUGGCUGCGUUCCCUCCUCCAGCUGUGGAGAGGUUAACUCAUGGAGAAGCAGAAGACAUACAUCCAGGAGCGAUCUGGGAGAAAGAGGAACAGCCAUCUUGAUUCCAAGAAGACAAGAAUCAAUUAAGACAUCAUUAUUUACAAUAAGCAAGAAAUGGAAAUGACCUAAGUGCCCAUCAAUGGAUGAGUGGAUAAAGAAGAUGAGGUGCAACCUGCUAUAAAGGCAAUAAAACCCAGAG